AAUUAUUCCUGUCACACAAGAAAUGUUUCUUAUCACGCUCACAUGAAACAAAAGAUUAUGAGAUAGACAUAGAUGGAACAUACAAAACAAGCACACCAGUAAAUGUAAGUAAUAAUUACACCUUUUUUGAAAUAUGUUGUACAUCAAAAUACUGGUCAAAUUUGAAUAAAAUAUUUUUGAUGUUGAUUGAUUUUUUGGCUUUAUUUUAGUCACAUGAAACAAAAGAUGAUGAGAUCCACACAGAUGGAACAUACAAUUUAAACUUUUCAUUGCAUCUAAAUAUUAAUAAUGUCAUCACAAAAAUACGCCAAAUGACUACAAUUAUUAUUUUUUAUUUCAUUAACAGGUUUUAUUUUCGGUAUGCAAUACCGAGGUGGAACCUUUUAGAUCUGUGUCAUCCCCUCACGUUUAGUGAAAUACCGGGGUGGUUGGAACUUGAUUUGGUCCAUCCUGUCAUCAACUGUUUUUCAAUGGGACGACUUCUGAACAUCAGAGAGAUCUUGACUGUCAAGAUACGUGAAUUAGGCCACUGAACUUUUCAAAACAAAACCAACACAGGUGAAAUAUCUGAGCAUCUCCCUUGACAAUAAAUUGAACUGGGCAAGUCAUAUCGACAACAUGCAUAGUGCCUAGCAAACAUAGCGGCCAUGGGUUGUAUGAGAACCACUCUAUCGGCAUCACUUGACUUCUUUCUGAAUCUCAGACAUUUAGACCUCAUUAUUCAGGAGGAAGCACAAGCACCCACUCUAAGACUUAAAGGAAACGAUC